UUUUUUUUUCUUCUUCCCAUUUUUCACCAUGGGAGCUCACUGAAACACAAAGAAAAAGCUCCAUUAAACCCUCCAAACUUCAACCCAUAAACACCUUGUCUUCUCCAAAAGAUGUAGCUUGAAGCUACUGCCAAAAACAGCCCAAAACCUCCACAAAAUCAGUAAACGCAGCUCCUCCAUCACCUCUUGAACGAGAAGCAAUAGUCCUGAUUUGAAAGUAAAACCUGACAGACCCCUGUAGAGAGAGCAGUUGCAGACCGUAAGAAUUAAAAAUAAAGAACAAAAUAACGCCUAAAGGAUCAAGGGAAAGACUAGGAGGUGCCGAUUUUGUUAUAGAAUAGACCCUUUACAGCGUCCUCUGCUUCCUCCCAUUGAUUUCCAAACAUUUGGUUCUCGAAUGGAGUUAAAUCACAGUGAGUUUGCUGCUCGAGUCACUGAGGUCGAGUUUUCCGGUAAUUUCUUUGGUUGACGGAUUCGUUCGAGGCUUCUGAUUCGAGUCCUAUUUCCAUGCGUGUAAACUUUGCUGGAAUUUUAAUUGAAUUCGCUUGGAG
rnacentral:lncRNA from 1 species